CCGCUUCUUUAGCUCCAUCCAUAUUUGUUCCUGCUUUGAAAUGAACCCAAAGUGAGCGUUCAUCAUUCUUGAUUAAAUUAAUAGUAGAAAGGGAAAAAUGUUGUACGAACGAAAUACCAUCGAGUGCAUUAUGAAUUUGCGCAACCGAGAUGUUGGGCAAAACAUGACUGACCAAUAGUGUAUUUUCCAUUGCAUCGUUUCGAGAGUCUUGGUUCCAUUUGGAAAGUUGCGGGUCGUUAGAAGGAAGAAUUGAGUCAUCUGUAUCAUUAUCAGGUAUUGACGGCUUUUCGAUUACAUCCUCAGCGGUUGGAAGCUGAAAAUCAUCAUAAUAACCGGCGUCUAAUCUGUCCAUGAAUUUAUCGUAUAACGCCCGGCGAUAAGAUUUCUCAUUUUCAGACACUUCAAGGACUCUUCCUUGUGACUCGUCCACCCAAUAGCUGUCUUCAAACCAAGCUUCGUCACAAUGGCUCUCAACAAAACUUCUUGCGGUCCUAGCGUAUAGAUCCUGUUUAUAAUUGUUGUA